AACGAACGCUGGCGGCAGGCUUAACACAUGCAAGUCGAACGCCCCGCAAGGGGAGUGGCAGACGGGUGAGUAACGCGUGGGAAUCUACCGUACCCUACGGAAUAACGCAUGGAAACGUGUGCUAAUACCGUAUACGCCCUUAGGGGGAAAGAUUUAUCGGGGUAUGAUGAGCCCGCGUUGGAUUAGCUAGUUGGUGGGGUAAAGGCCUACCAAGGCGACGAUCCAUAGCUGGUCUGAGAGGAUGAUCAGCCACAUUGGGACUGAGACACGGCCCAAACUCCUACGGGAGGCAGCAGUGGGGAAUAUUGGACAAUGGGCGCAAGCCUGAUCCAGCCAUGCCGCGUGAGUGAUGAAGGUCUUAGGAUUGUAAAGCUCUUUCACCGAUGAAGAUAAUGACGGUAGUCGGAGAAGAAGCCCCGGCUAACUUCGUGCCAGCCGCCGCAGUAAAAC
rnacentral:rRNA from 1 species